CCUACGGGAGGCAGCAGUGGGGGAUAUUGCACAAUGGGGGAAACCCUGAUGCAGCGACGCCGCGUGGGUGAAGAAGCGCCUCGGCGCGUAAAGCUCUGUCAGCAGGGAAGAAAAUGACGGUACCUGAAGAAGAAGCCACGGCUAACUACGUGCCAGCAGCCGCGGUAAUACGUAGGGGGCAAGCGUUAUCCGGAUGUAUGGGGGGUAAAGGGGGCGCAGGCGGCGGUGUAAGUCAGAGGUGAAAGCACGGGGCCGAACCCCGGGACUGCUCUUGGAACUGCGUGGCUAGAGUGCAGGAGGGGUAGGCGGAAUGGCUGGUGUAGCGGUGAAAUGCGUAGAUAUCAGGAGGAACACCGAUGGCGAAGGCAGCCUACUAAACUGCGACUGACGUUGAGGCACGAAAGCGUGGGGAGCAAACAGGAUUAGAUACCCUUGUAGUC
rnacentral:rRNA from 1 species